rnacentral:rRNA from 1 species
UACGUAGGUCGCAAGCGUUAUCCGGAAUUAUUGGGCGUAAAGCGUCCGUAUGCGGUUUUGAAAGUCUGUGGUUAAAUCUUCCUGCUCAACGGGAAAUCCAUCAUGGAAACUCCAAAACUCGAGGUAUGCAGAGGCAGAUGGAAUUUCGGAAGUAGGGGUAAAAUCCGUAGAUCUCCGAAGGAACACCAAACGCGAAGGCAUUCUGCUGGGCAUUACCUGACGCUGAAGGACGAAAGCGCGGGGAGCAAACAGG